UACGUAGGGUGCGAGCGUUGUCCGGAAUUAUUGGGCGUAAAGGGCUCGUAGGCGGUUUGUCGCGUCUGCCGUGAAAGUCCGGGGCUCAACUCCGGAUCUGCGGUGGGUACGGGCAGACUAGAGUGAUGUAGGGGAGACUGGAAUUCCUGGUGUAGCGGUGAAAUGCGCAGAUAUCAGGAAGAACACCGGUGGCGAAGGCGGCUCUCUGGGCCUUACCUGACGCUGAGGAGCGAAAGCGUGGGUAGCGAACAGG
rnacentral:rRNA from 1 species